rnacentral:misc_RNA from 1 species
GAUGAAGAACGUAGCGAAAUGCGAUAAGUAAUGUGAAUUGCAGAAUUCAGUGAAUCAUCGAAUCUUUGAACGCACAUUGCGCCCGCCAGUAUUCUGGCGGGCAUGCCUGUUCGAGCGUCAUUUCAACCAUCAAGCCCCCGGCUUGUGUUGGGGACCUGCGGCUGCCGCAGACCCUGAAAACCAGUGGCGGGCUCGCUAGUCACUCCGAGCGUAGUAGUUACAUCUCGCUCAGGGCGUGCUGCGGGUUCCGGCCGUUAAAAGCCUUAUUUACCCAAGGUUGACCUCGGAUCAGGUAGGAAGACCCGCUGAACUUAAGCAUAUCAAUAAGCGGAGGA